GGUUCCCCUGUGAAACUCUUUCAGGUUCCCCAUCUGAAACUCUAAUGAAACCCUACCAUUGAAGUUCAUUAUUCCUCUUUCUGCUACUACUAGCAUCAUUAUCAUAACCCCCCAAAUCCUUUUCCCUCUUUUCUUUCGAAUCCCUAGAAAUAUUUUUAUGUCCGUAGAUUCCCCAAACCCAAAACUAAUGGCUGUCGUUGAAUAUUAGGUUCAAUUCGAGUUUGAAAUCGGCAGCAAAGUGGAUGAAUCAUAUGGAGUUUUGGAUAGAAAAUGAAAGCCAAGAAUUGGGGUUAUGUUCUGGUUCGAUUUUGAAGAAGAGAGAAAUGAGAAGGAGAUGUUAUGUUGGAAUAAUAGAUGGGUGCCAAGAAAUCAAGAUAAGAAGAUGACAUCGGUGAUGGAAGAGAAGAAAUUGAAGAUAGGGUUUGAGUUAAAUCAACAUGUAAUUGAGGAAUUGUGUUGAUGAUUAUGAAUUUGGUAGCAUGAUGGUGGUACGAGUUAUGCGGAAAAGUUCUGAUGCAAAAAGAGAAGAAUACAACCUUGCUAGUGUUGAAUUUAUACAUCACUGGAGGUGAUUGAAGCAUGAAUGGUAGUUAUAAUGGGUUUAGGAGAAUGGGUUUACCCAAUUUUGAGUCCACAGUUAGGGUUACGGGGCUGUGAAGAUGAUGGAGUUCAUCUGGAGUUAAUAGGAGCAGAAAAUUGGUGGUAUCCGAUGAUGAUGGUGAUGUAUGAAGCUGUUUAUGGUGCUGAUUGAUGCUGAUGGAGAAAGGUCAUAGAAGAGUGCCAGUAAUCUGUGAGUAGCCUACAAACAUAAUUGGACUUAUUCUGGUAAUCUAUCCAAUUUUUUUACUGUUCUCUCGCAACUUUAUCAGCAAGUAUUACAUUUUAAUUGAGUCUUUUGAUUUUUUUUUAUCUUCUUUGUCUUUAGCCAUGAAAAUUAGCUAGCUUUAUUAGGAUUUAAGGGUAGUUGAAGUUAUUUUAUUUAGAGUGAUCCGGGUAGUUGAUGUUACUUUAUUUAGAAUGAGAAUUAGUUAGUUUUAUUCGGAUUUACGUACAGGUAGUACCUAUGAAGAUUGUGCUAGGUCCGCUUGUGCACGAAGUUCAUCAACAAUUCAGCUCCUGGAUAUAUUACGUCUGUCGCGAUAUCAUCUAGUUAUGGGUAGACUAUCUUAAACUUAGUAGAAUUAUCUGAUGGUUUCACUACAUUGCUCAGUUUACAAUACUUUACAAAGAUAAGGAUUACGUAGAAGUUGAGUUCAUGUGAGUCUCUUUGUACCUCUUAUCAUUUUAUCACUCGAAAAACCAAGUUACAUUAUUGAUCUAUUCGAGUUAAUGAAUCCAGUUCUGAUUAAUACCUUUAAUAAAGAUUGGUCCGAUACCAGCAUAUGAUGGAAGGGAAGUCAUUACACGAAUGACAACCAGUAUGGCUACAAGAAAGAUGUUUUAUACAGAUUCUAAUAGAAGAGAUUUCCUACAACGGAACUUGGAGGGAGUGACUAAACUAUCCCUACUUGAAGAUAUGCUUGAUGGUUACAUACAGUCAUACAUCUAUCAUUUCAACAAGAUAGCGCCAAAAUGAAAAGAAGUGGAAACAUGAUAUUUUUGAUGACGAAGGCAAACCUCGAGUUUCAAAUCUCCGAGUUGCUGCUAAAGACCUGCAUCCAACAUAAGAGUUUGAAGAAAACAUAUCAAAAGAGAAGGGGCCCUCUUGAAGGAGGUGUCCAGGAUCUACGGGUAAAGGUGUCAGGUUCGUAAUGCAAGCGUUUAGGGAAACAUAAAACAUGGAACUGAAGAAGAACGACGCCAAUGGAACGAGUUAAUUGCAAGUCUCAAGUCGGAUUAUCCAAAUUACACUCCACUUCUUUUUAAAAUCAUGGAGUGUUUCUUUCUGGAAGUAUUAAGGAAGACAAGAUCAUAUGCAAUGAAGAGGGUGUGAUUUGAUGUUUUGGUCUCUGAAAGUAUGGCGUAUUCGAGUUUUAAGUAUUAAGUGGAUUGGUGUGGAUUUUUCUGUGUAUAUGCUUGCUAACUUAGUCACGAGGGUGUAAUUGUUAUUCAUGUUAACCAGAAAGCUGUGUAAUCUUUAACUGACCCUGAGGAGUACCCUACCUUGUUCGAGAAACAUGAAAAGAAGGGAACACAGGAAGAAGAGGUUGUGGAGGUCGAAGAUGAUUCCAAAGAUAUGAUAAAUAAGUGCCACUACUUACAAGGUUGUUUAUAAAGCAACAAGAAACUAUAUUUGUUUGAGCAUGUAGGUAAUGAAUGAUGUUGAGCUGCUCCAGGUCCCGUGCCUUUAAGAUUUUAUCUACUACUGCUAUUACACUCAAACAUUAGAACUGCAAAAUUUGUAUGUUUUAAAAACUUAGAAAAUGUUUAUAUACUUGUCAUUCUUUUGAUACUAGG